rnacentral:rRNA from 1 species
GAUGAACGCUGGCGGCGUGCCUAAUACAUGCAAGUCGAGCGAACCACUUCGGUGGUGAGCGGCGAACGGGUGAGUAACACGUAGGUUAUCUGCCCAUCAGACGGGGACAACGAUUGGAAACGAUCGCUAAUACCGGAUAGGACGAAAGUUUAAAGGUGCUUCGGCACCACUGAUGGAUGAGCCUGCGGCGCAUUAGCUAGUUGGUAGGGUAAAGGCCUACCAAGGCGACGAUGCGUAGCCGACCUGAGAGGGUGAACGGCCACACUGGGACUGAGCCACGGCCCAGACUCCUGCGGGAGGCAGCAGUAGGGAAUCUUCGGCAAUGGGCGAAAGCCUGACCGAGCAACGCCGCGUGAAUGAUGAAGGCCUUCGGGUUGUAAAAUUCUGUUAUAAGGGAAGAAUGGCUCUAGUAGGAAAUGGCUAGAGUGUGACGGUACCUUAUGAGAAAGCCACGGCUAACUACGUGCCAGCCGCCGCCGUAAAAC